AGCAAUCCUGGUGGCGAGUGGCGAACGGGUGAGUAAUACAUCGGAACGUGCCCAGUUGUGGGGGAUAGCCCGGCGAAAGCCGGAUUAAUACCGCAUACGACCUACGGGUGAAAGCGGGGGAUCGCAAGACCUCGCGCAAUUGGAGCGGCCGAUGGCAGAUUAGCUUGUUGGUGGGGUAAAAGCCUACCAAGGCGACGAUCUGUAGCUGGUCUGAGAGGACGACCAGCCACACUGGGACUGAGACACGGCCCAGACUCCUACGGGAGGCAGCAGUGGGGAAUUUUGGACAAUGGGCGCAAGCCUGAUCCAGCCAUGCCGCGUGUGGGAAGAAGGCCUUCGGGUUGUAAACCACUUUUGUCA
rnacentral:rRNA from 1 species